AAGACAGUAUUCUUUGAUUAAAAACCCAUGAUCAUUUUCUAAAUUAGCCGAUGUGGGACUUUCAUCAUCCAACAAUUCUUACAGAGUUCUGGAGCCUUCGAAGUAUAUUGCAAUGGUGAAAUGGUCUUUUCGAAGUUGAAGGAGCAGUGAUUUCCUAGUGAGAUCGAGUUGAGAGAUGUUAUUGGUAGGAAACUUUCUGGGUCGAGAUUUGUCGACAACUCGGGAGGAUUUUGGUCAUAGCCAAGCAGGAGCAUGUGGGAGAGAUAGAUCCAGUUUCAAUAUGCCUAUCCUAAACAUAAUCCCUGGCUAGCGAAACAGUUUGAAGCCUGCUGCGCUACCCAAAGUAAGCCGCCGAUAACCUUUUUGGCUGCCUAUCAACAGGUACUAGACUUUGCUGGUGAGCAGACCAUUGGUAUCAUUUACUAGUAAUUUCGGAAAUGUUUGCUUAAAAAUGAUCUAAUGAGUAGUGCAGUAGAGAUUAUAAUAACAACAUCUAGGUUUUUAAACUAAAAAAAUUUAAAUUUCAACUUUAUUUAGAAUUCACAAAUCUAUGAAAAAAAAUUAAAAAAUUUAAUCUUUUAUUAGACACAAUAUUUAGUUUUAUGUAUAAUUAAUUCGUGGAGGACUCAUUUGACAAUCUCUAUAUACAAAAUUAUCUAAUAUUUUUUUAUAAGUACAUCAAACUUUAGUGAUUAAUUUAUAAUAUAACUAAGAAAAUUCUCACCAUGUACAAUAUUUUGAUGAUGAAUAUAGAGUUAGGCGUGUUUAAUUCUUGUUCAUUAUAUUUUUUCCCAUCAUCACCUACUGAAACGAAUAAACUGAGAUACAAAAUUCAAAUUAUUGGCCAAAAUGAUUAUGUUGAAGCUUUUCUAUUUGAGAAAGUAUAUGAAAAGUUCUUGUUUUCGUUACCAAAUAAAUUAUAUGCAUGCAUGUACGUAUAUAUGCAUGAAAAGAUAAACGGUAUGUGCAAAACUGGGAUACUGAUGAAAAAAUAAACACAAAAUUUAAAAAAGAACAAAAAUAUGUAUUUUUAACAAGCGUCAUGAAAUCCAUUCCAAGGCCUAACUUUCCGUUUCUAAGCAAACACAUCAAAAUCCAAACGAAUCUAACCUUAAAAAUCUCGCAGCCAAAAAGAAAAAAAACAAAACAAAUAAACACACCACCAAAACUAUAUGAUUUUUUUAAUUAAGUUUUAAACGUUACAUUCAAAUUUUGUUGGUGAAAUCUCACCUCAGAAAUUAUCCGUGUUUAAGAAAUGGCCAGAAAACACCCGUAGCUUUUUAAAAACGCAACUUUUUUUUUUUUUUUUUUUUUUAA